rnacentral:misc_RNA from 1 species
UACGUAGGGGGCAAGCGUUGUCCGGAAUUAUUGGGCGUAAAGCGCGCGCAGGCGGUUUCUUAAGUCUGAUGAGAAAGCCCACGGCUUAACCGUAGAGGGUCAUUGGAAACUGGGGAACAUGAGUACAGAAGAGGAGAGCGGAAUUCCACGUGUAGCGGUGAAAUGCGUAGAUAUGUGGAGGAACACCAGUGGCGAAGGCGGCUCUCUGGUCUGUAACUGACACUGAGGCGCGGAAGCGUGGGGAGCGAACAGG